AACACAGAAACAGAGUAGCAGAGAUGCAUAAAUUGAAACUAAAUAGAGCACCUAAAGCAGAUGAACUUUAAGAAAAGAAGACGGGAUCCAGAAAGAGACCGACAUUAACGCUGCAGUGACGGACCUUUGCAGAGACAUGAGCGGAUCGAGCUCCCAGUUGCCGCGAGCCGGAGAGAAAGGCGCCCUCAUACCUUGAAGCACCGGGUCCUACAGCUUCCAAGAAGCCCUCAGAUCAACACCUACACAAAGAAUCAAACGUCUCGCAUCCGCAAGCCCAUCCAAUAUCACACCACCGGCAGCACGAGAAGGAGUCCACAACCGGCGAUGCCGUCGUUCGGGAUAAGAGUCCGGAGAUUGCUGCCUCCAUCCUCUCAGACCCGGGACCGUAUACACCCUUUUAACCCACCACCCAUAUAGAGCAAUGAGACAGGUCAGGCACACCUCCUCCGGAGUUGUAACCAUCGAACUAGCAAGAAGAAAAUCAUGAGCAAAGCUAACACCUUUCCACUCUCCACGGACUCAAGCCGCUUUCAUAGAAACACAACCGCUAAAAGGUGACGAAAGAAUAGAGAACCGAUGACAAGGAGCGCCACACCAUGGAACCAACUCCAACUUCGGGGAGACCCAAGAACCACACACGCCGAGAGGAUCUCGACAAACGAGGGAGACGUCACCACCACGCGUCGCCACAAGAGAGAACCGGAAAGGAAGGACGACGACCAACCCCCGAUCUCACCACGCGCUUUCUCUAGAGACCACCAGAGAACACAAAGAGGAGUAGAGAAGCUUGAGAUCCACAGAUCCACAAACGCCAAGCCCACAGGAAACCCACCACAGCGAAGCCAACAACCACGCUCCACCGCCAGCGAGACCAAGUGAACUUAUCCCACGUCUCACGCGCCACCGUCUCGAAGAGAUCUAGUCAGAGAAAGGAAAAAGUCUCCGAACAAAGAUCCCACGACAAACCAGAUAAAACACGAGGGGAGCGGAGACCGUCCUCAAGCCCUCCAAAAUCCACCACGCACAGACCGGAUCUGCACCAGGAACCGCCAGAUCUGAAACGGAGACACCUCAGACCAAACCCAACCCUAGCCGCAAAGAGAAAGAAAAGACCACAGAGAUGAACAGAGAAGCGGAAAAGGAAAAAGAAACACAGUGGGGACCACCGGCGACCGCCUCGAAAGGACACGGCAGUCGCCGGAGGAGAGCUGCGGCCAAUUUGAGCUUUUCUGGUGAGAGGCGAGAGAGAAAUAAAGAGAGAGAAAAAGUCUCUUUCUUAUCCUUCACGGACUUUUUUUGUGUAACCUUCAUAAUCAAUGAUUAUCUUAAAACCAUUCUUGAAUGUUCCUUUCCCCUUCCACUUGAUCCUUCUCCUAUAUAAAUUUCUAUGACUAAACCUUAAUCCAUCCAAAUCAAAACCUACUCUGAAGAAGCUACAUCCAUGCCCAUUCGCCUUCUAUUUCAACGACGUCUCUACAGUCUCGACCAGAACCAGCUAAGUUAGAGCUUCAAUUUCAGUUAGUCCAUUUCUGGGAGGCAAGAAACAUUGCUAAAGGUGAAACCUUAUUGGGUUAGAGCCCCUCAUUGAAAAAUCAACCAAUUACAUUUCUCAAAUCAGCCAUGUCAUUUAGGAUGAAGAUCCAGCCGGAGUCAACAUGCAACCAAUGCUCAAUCUGCCCUCAAGCGUCUAUUUCAUCAUCGGCUGUUUACUAAUGGGUUUAGUUGUUCAAUCUCCGAGAAACCAUUCCUCGAUGUGACGGAGUUCGAGCCAGUUUUUGUUUGUUUUGUGAAGAUGGUUCAGAACUUCGUAUAGGAGAACUCCCCGAUAGGGAAACCAAAUGUGGCUGCUACCGCUGCACGAUAGCUCCUCCGACAAUGAAUUAGAUAUGUUCGGUGGUUCAUCUCAAAUAUGAUUUUCGACAUUGAGUUAGAUUCCAUGCGCGAGGGUCACGGAGAGGAACAUCUUAGCCGACGCGUCGAAGGUAGUAAAGAAGAACAAAUCAGUGAAAUGAAAAGACGAUAUGAUUCUUAAGUCUGCAAGUCGUGAUGGGAAAGUCUCCUUUCCUAGCUGGUAAACAUUUCUCUUCUCAAACCUACUCUUCACCAAAUCUAUGUGACUGAUGAACUAAGACUUGCUAAUUUUCAGGUGAAUGAGUACAAUUUUGUUUGACUUAAUUUAUCUUUCUUAGGCUCUUAGCCAGAGUAGAACUGUGCUUUAGAGUCACGUGUAUGCUUCAGAUUUGUUUUCCUCUUGAAAUUUUAUCAUAGAGUAGCUUUUUGGUUGCAAAAACUCAUUUCUGAUAUAGAAUUGUACAUGUUUAUUGGAUUUUAGGUAAGUGACAAGUUCUUAGAGGGAUAUAUCCCACUCUCUCUGUGCAUGAUUGGCUUACUUUGGUUUAGAGACUCUAUCUCGGUUCCAUAGAAAUCCUAUUCAUGGUGCUAGCUCUCUGUUGCGUGCAUGAUGCAGAAGCCAAGCUGGUGCUGUUACGAAAAUUGAUUGAUCAUUCAGUACCUCACCUGGUUGGGAGUCAAAAAAUCUGCGAAGCUAAUAAAAAAUAAAUUAACAAGAGUGUGUAAUACCAAGCUAACAACUUAAUUUACACAGUCAGGACAUCAAUGUUUACAGUCGUAUUCGCGUACUUAUUAUUCUUUCUUUUAUAUUUCAUUUCUUUUAAAUAAUUAUAAAAAUUAAGAUAGAUCCAGACCAAUGUAUUUUUUUACUGGUAUUAGAUGACUCUACCUUUCCACCU